ACGGGAGGCAGCAGUCGGGAAUAUUGCGCAAUGGAGGAAACUCUGACGCAGUGACGCCGCGUGCAGGAAGAAGGUUUUCGGAUUGUAAACUGCUUUAGACAGGGAAGAAACAAGACAGUACCUGUAGAAUAAGCUCCGGCUAACUACGUGCCAGCAGCCGCGGUAAUACGUAGGGAGCAAGCGUUAUCCGGAUUUAUUGGGUGUAAAGGGUGCGUAGACGGGAAAUUAAGUUAGUUGUGAAAUCCCUCGGCUCAACUGAGGAACUGCAACUAAAACUGGUUUUCUUGAGUGCAGGAGAGGAAAGUGGAAUUCCUAGUGUAGCGGUGAAAUGCGUAGAUAUUAGGAGGAACACCAGUGGCGAAGGCGACUUUCUGGACUGUAACUGACGUUGAGGCACGAAAGUGUGGGGAGCAAACAGGAUUAGAUACCCUUGUA
rnacentral:rRNA from 1 species